rnacentral:rRNA from 1 species
GCAGUGGCGCACGGGUGAGUAACGCGUGGGAACCUACCCUGAGGUUCGGAAUAACGGCUGGAAACGGCCGCUAAUACCGGAUGUGCCCUGUGGGGCAAAGGCUUGCCGCCUUGGGAGGGGCCCGCGUCCGAUUAGCUUGUUGGUGGGGUAACGGCCUACCAAGGCGACGAUCGGUAGCUGGUCUGAGAGGAUGAUCAGCCACACUGGGACUGAGACACGGCCCAGACUCC